rnacentral:rRNA from 1 species
UACGUAGGGCGCAAGCGUUGUCCGGAAUUAUUGGGCGUAAAGAGCUCGUAGGUGGUUUGUCGCGUCUGCCGUGAAAGCCCGGGGCUUAACUCCGGGUCUGCGGUGGAUACGGGCAGACUAGAGUGUUGCAGGGGAGACUGGAAUUCCUGGUGUAGCGGUGAAAUGCGCAGAUAUCAGGAGGAACACCGGUGGCGAAGGCGGCUCUCUGGGACGGUACUGACGCUGAGACGCGAAAGCGUGGGGAGCGAACAGG